rnacentral:lncRNA from 1 species
AUGCCUGAUCUCUACUUCCACACAGACCCGGAAGAGACUGAAGAGGAAGAGCAGGCUGCCGCUAAAAACACUGUGACCAAGGAGGAAUUUCGGGGCCCAGGGUUUCUGCUCUGUGAUACUGAGGACCUUCUACAGAGAUUGCCUGCACCAUCCACCCUAGAGGUUGCAGGCCCGCCAAGCUGCAGGAAGAGGAAGAAAAUGACUCUCCUGGAUCUCUGCCCUGCCACCCCACCCCCCCUCCACCCCCUCAGUGCUACUGUGUUGUCCUGGAGCCUGACUUCCUAGUGGCUGUGGCUGGAGAGGCGGAAUGGUGCCACCCUAAGUGUGGAGUUGACAUUCUGGGGUAGAAACUGACCAGAGGGUGAGAGGAGUCUUCAGAAAUCUCUUCUCCUUCCUCCUACCCCAUGGGGAGGUAAGAGGACAUAAUAGUCCAUUGCCACUUGCGCUCUGAAGAUAGACUAUGCAAACAGCUGUGCUUUAGCUCUAGUCAGAUCAGAAACACCCACUUAUAUUCUCUCUCCUGCACUGCUUCACCACCAUUUACCUUCAGUUGUCCUUUUCUGGGAUUGCAUCACCCCCAUAAAGUAUUGACAAUAAGAUUUAAUCUUAGGCUAUUUUCUUAGGAACCCAGCAAACAUCAAAGUGGCAAUGUCUGGUAGGCAAAGGGAUAUAUGAGCCUGUAGUUCAGAGAAGAGGUCUAAGCUGAAAUACAGAUUUUGGAGUCCUAGGUAGUAAAGACAUAAGACCAGAUGAAAUCACCCGGGAAGUGAGCACAGCUAGAAAAGAGAUUUUUUUUUUUUUUUUUUUUUUUGUCUUUUUGCUAUUUCUUUGGGCCGCUCCUGCGGCAUAUGGAGGUUCCCAGGCUAGGGGUCGAAUCGGAGCUGUAGCCACUGGCCUGCGCCAGAGCCACAGCAACGCAGGAUCCGAGCUGAGUCUGCAACCUACACCACAGCUCACGUCAACGCCGGACCGUUAACCCACUGAGCAAGGGUAGGGACCGAACCCGCAACCUCAUGGUUCCUAGUCGGAUUCGUUAACCACUGCGCCACAACGGGAACUCCUAGAAAAGAGAUUUGAACACUGAGCCCUCAGGCAUUCCAACCUAUUGAAGUCCAG